rnacentral:rRNA from 1 species
UGGGCGUAAGAGCUCGUAGGCGGUUUGUCGCGUCUGCCGUGAAAGUCCGGGGCUCAACUCCGGAUCUGCGGUGGGUACGGGCAGGCUAGAGUGAUGUAGGGGAGACUGGAAUUCCUGGUGUAGCGGUGAAAUGCGCAGAUAUCAGGAGGAACACCGAUGGCGAAGGCAGGUCUCUGGGCAUUAACUGACGCUGAGGAGCGAAAGCAUGGGGAGCGAACAGGAUUAGAUACCCUGGUAGUCCAUGCCGUAAACGUUGGGCACUAGGUGUGGGGGACAUUCCACGUUUUCCGCGCCGUAGCUAACGCAUUAAGUGCCCCGCCUGGGGAGUACGGCCGCAAGGCUAAAUCUCAAAGGAAUU